GUAGGGAAUAUUGGGCAAUGGUCGGAAGACUGACCCAGCCAUGCCGCGUGCAGGAAGACGGCCCUCUGGGUUGUAAACUGCUUUUAUCUGGGAAGAAAAAGGCCAUGCGUGGCAAAUUGCCGGUACCAGAUGAAUAAGCACCGGCUAACUCCGUGCCAGCAGCCGCGGUAAUACGGAGGGUGCGAGCGUUGUCCGGAUUUAUUGGGUUUAAAGGGUGCGUAGGCGGCUGGUUAAGUCAGCGGUGAAAGACUUCGGCUUAACCGGAGCAGUGCCGUUGAUACUGGUUGGCUUGAGUGUCGGAGGGGUACAUGGAAUUGAUGGUGUAGCGGUGAAAUGCAUAGAUACCAUCAGGAACACCGAUAGCGAAGGCAUUGUACUGGCCGACAACUGACGCUGAUGCACGAAAGUGUGGGGAUCGAACAGGAUUAGAAACCCCUGUAGUCC
rnacentral:rRNA from 1 species